rnacentral:rRNA from 1 species
GAUGAACGCUGGCGGCGUGCUUAACACAUGCAAGUCGAGCGAAGCAGUUAAGAAGAUUCUUCGGAUGAAACUUGAUUGACUGAGCGGCGGACGGGUGAGUAACGCGUGGGUGACCUGCCCCAUACCGGGGGAUAACAGCUGGAAACGGCUGCUAAUACCGCAUAAGCGCACAGAGCUGCAUGGCUCGGUGUGAAAAACUCCGGUGGUAUGGGAUGGGCCCGCGUCUGAUUAGGCAGUUGGCGGGGUAACGGCCCACCAAACCGACGAUCAGUAGCCGGCCUGAGAGGGCGACCGGCCACAUUGGGACUGAGACACGGCCCAAACUCCUACGGGAGGCAGCAGUGGGGAAUAUUGCACAAUGGGGGAAACCCUGAUGCAGCGACGCCGCGUGAGCGAAGAAGUAUUUCGGUAUGUAAAGCUCUAUCAGCAGGGAAGAUAAUGACGGUACCUGACUAAGAAGCCCCGGCUAACUACGUGCCAGCAGCCGCGGUAAUACGUAGGGGGCAAGCGUUAUCCGGAUUUACUGGGUGUAAAGGGAGCGUAGACGGCAAGGCAAGUCUGAUGUGAAAACCCAGGGCUUAACCCUGGGACUGCAUUGGAAACUGUCUGGCUCGAGUGCCGGAGAGGUAAGCGGAAUUCCUAGUGUAGCGGUGAAAUGCGUAGAUAUUAGGAAGAACACCAGUGGCGAAGGCGGCUUACUGGACGGUAACUGACGUUGAGGCUCGAAAGCGUGGGGAGCAAACAGGAUUAGAUACCCUGGUAGUCCACGCCGUAAACGAU